UGCCCAGCAACUCCUAUCCCUACCUCCUUGUGGUACUGGCCGGGGUACGAGUAACCUUAGGGAAGAUCGGGUAACCAACCCCGGUGGGAACUUUCCUCGUAUGCUGACGGGGAAGG
rnacentral:ribozyme from 1 species